UUUGAAUUCUAGUGAAAGAAACUACUACUUCUCUCUAGGAUUUUAGCAUUCUUAGUUCAUCUUCGCAUUGGAUCUUAGGAGAGCUGCUGCUACCUUCAAUUGGAGUCAAUUCUUUUACAGUUUUCUUUGCUAAUUUCUCUAUUACUCUUGUCCAUUUGAUUAUUUUGCAUUCACGUUUGUAUCUUGUCACAUUUGAAUCUUAUUAAUGCAUUGAAGUAUUUUUAUAUUUAUUUUUAUUGCCUGUUUGAUUCGUGUUAAUUAUUGUUCGUGCCAAUUUUGAUUUAAUUAAUUUUUCAUAAUUAUCUUGUCUUUUAUUUACUCCUAUUAUGUGUUUAUAAAAAUGACAUUCAUGUUAAUGGAGUAAAGCUCCCAACUUGGUUGGGGGUUGAUAAUUGGAAACUGUUGAGUUGUGAUAUUCAAGUAUUAAUCUAUAAUUGGGAAUUGCUGGCUAACUCGAUUUUCACCAACUCUAGUCCUUCCCCAUGAAGUGACUAGGACUUGUGAGUCAGAGUUAGUGACAGCCACUUGACAUUCCUUCAAUUGUUAGAGGAUAACUAAGUG